GGGCCGGUAGCUCAGUUGGUAGAGCAUACGUCUAGUAUAGGAAGGUUCUAGGUCCGAUUCCUAUCCAGUCCA